ACGCACGCUGGCGGCGUGCUUAACACAUGCAAGUCGAACGGAAAGGCCCUGCUUUUGUGGGGUGCUCGAGUGGCGAACGGGUGAAUAACACGUGAGUAACCUGCCCUUGACUUUGGGAUAACUUCAGGAAACUGGGGCUAAUACCGGAUAGGAGCUCCUGCUGCAUGGUGGGGGUUGGAAAGUUUCGGCGGUUGGGGAUGGACUCGCGGCUUAUCAGCUUGUUGGUGGGGUAGUGGCUUACCAAGGCUUUGACGGGUAGCCGGCCUGAGAGGGUGACCGGCCACAUUGGGACUGAGAUACGGCCCAGACUCCUACGGGAGGCAGCAGUGGGGAAUAUUGCACAAUGGGCGGAAGCCUGAUGCAGCAACGCCGCGUGCGGGAUGACGGCCUUCGGGUUGUAAACCGCUUUCGCCUGUGACGAAGCGUGAGUGACGGUAAUGGGUAAAGAAGCACCGGCUAACUACGUG
rnacentral:rRNA from 1 species